rnacentral:tRNA from 1 species
GGGGAGGUAACUCAGUGGUAGAGUGCUUGCCUUGCAUGCAUGAGGCCCUGGGUUUGAUUCCUCAGCACCA